AUGAAAGAGAGGAAACUGAAGAAUGACAAAAUCAAGCAAUACCUGAUCCGAAAGUACUGGCUGAACACCAGAAAAAUUGAAGAAGCUUUGGAAAUCGUGAAAGAACAAAUUACAGCAACAGCCAGAAAAAUUGAAAGGUAUGAAGCCAGAAUCAUCCAGUACAGACAAAAUCAACUGUUUCAAUCAGACCAAAGACGGUUCUACCAGAGUCUGAACCAAACAACAGACACAGUAACCAUAAAGCCAGAGAAAACUGCAACAACAAAGUUCUGGAAAGAACUUUGGGAAAAUAAUAAAAACUACAACAAAAACGCUGGGUGGAUAAAGGAGUUUGAAGGAAAAUUCUCACAGAACAAAAUGGAGCAGAUGGAAAUAACAACUGAAAUGAUCAGCAAACGAGUGCAAAAAGUCAAGAACUGGACAUCGCCUGGUAGUGAUCAACCUCAUGGAUUUUGGCUCAAACAUCUGAUUAGUUUACAUGGAAAAAUGGCCCAACAAUUCAAUGAGAUGCUGCAGAAAGGAAGUAUCAGUGAAUGGCUAACAACUGGAAGAACAUACCUGAUACAAAAGGAUCCAGCAAAAGGAGCAGCACCAGGAAACUACAGGCCAAUAACGUGUCUGCCCACUAUGUUUAAACUACUGACUGGCAUCAUAGCUGACAGAAUUCAAGACUAUCUUGAAGAAAAAAACAUCUUGCCAGAUGAACAGAAAGGCAACAAACGGAAAAGCAGGGGCACAAAAGACCAGUUAUUGAUUGACAAAAUGAUUCUGGAGAACUGUAAGAGCCGAAAAGCUAAUCUUCACAUGACGUGGAUUGACUACAAAAAGGCCUUGACGCGCCCCCGCUUAAUAUUUAAAUUUAUCUCCGACCGGCCCUGCCUGGACGCCAUCGGGAUUUGUAAAACCGUUGGCACCUUCAUUGAAAACAUGAUGGAGCACUGGAAAACUGAACUGUUUGUUGGAAAUGAAAGCUAUGGACUUGUCAACAUCAGGAGAGGAAUUUUCCAAGGAGAUUCAUUAUCCCCUCUGCUUUUCAUUAUUGCCAUGAUCCCUCUAGAAUCAUAG
rnacentral:lncRNA from 1 species